rnacentral:rRNA from 1 species
AUUAAUUCGAUGCAACGCGAAGAACCUUACCAAGGCUUGACAUAUACUGGACUGCGUCAGAGAUGGCGUUUCCCUUCGGGGCUGGUAUACAGGUGGUGCAUGGUUGUCGUCAGCUCGUGUCGUGAGAUGUUGGGUUAAGUCCCGCAACGAGCGCAACCCUCGUUCUAUGUUGCCAGCACGUGAUGGUGGGGACUCAUAGGAGACUGCCGGGGUCAACUCGGAGGAAGGUGGGGAUGACGUCAAAUCAUCAUGCCCCUUAUGUCUUGGGCUUCACGCAUGCUACAAUGGCCGGUACAGAGGGUUGCGAUACUGUGAGGUGGAGCUAAUCCCUAAAAGCCGGUCUCAGUUCGGAUUGGGGUCUGCAACUCGACCCCAUGAAGUCGGAGUCGCUAGUAAUCGCAGAUCAGCAACGCUG